rnacentral:rRNA from 1 species
AUUGAACGCUGGCGGCACGCCUAACACAUGCAAGUCGAGCGGUAGCAUGGUUAGUAGCAAUACUAACUGAUGACGAGCGGCGGACGGGUGAGGAACACGUAGGAACCUGCCCAAGAGAGGGGGAUAACUAAGGGAAACUUUAGCUAAUACCGCAUAAUUCUCUGAGGAGAAAAGUUGCCCGUAAGGGUAGCGCUUUUGGAGGGGCCUGCGUCCGAUUAGUUAGUUGGUGAGGUAAUGGCUCACCAAGACUGUGAUCGGUAACUGGUCUGAGAGGCCGACGAGUCACACUGGGACUGAGACGCGGCCCAGACUCCUACGGGAGGCAGCAGUGGGGAAUCUUGGACAAUGGGGGCAACCCUGAUCCAGCGACGCUGCGUGGGUGAAGAAGGCCUUCGGGUUGUAAAGCCCUUUAGGCUGGGAAGAAGUUUAUGGGAUGAAUAAUCCUGUAAAUUGACGGUACCAGCAGAAUAAGCACCGGCAAACUCUGUGCCAGCAGCCGCCGUAA